rnacentral:rRNA from 1 species
UGGGGAAUAUUGCACAAUGGAGGGAACUCUGAUGCAGCGACGCCGCGUGAACGAAGAAGGCUUUCGAGUCGUAAAGUUCUUUUAUAUGGGAAGAUAAUGACGGUACCAUAAGAAAAAGCCCCGGCUAACUACGUGCCAGCAGCCGCGGUAAUACGUAGGGGGCUAGCGUUGUCCGGAAUCACUGGGCGUAAAGGGUUCGCAGGCGGAAAUGCAAGUCAGAUGUAAAAGGCAGUAGCUUAACUACUGUAAGCAUUUGAAACUGCAUAUCUUGAGAAGAGUAGAGGUAAGUGGAAUUUUUAGUGUAGCGGUGAAAUACGUAGAUAUUAAAAAGAAUACCGGUAGCGAAGGCGACUUACUGAGCUCAUUCUGACGCUGAGGAACGAAAGCGUGGGUAGCAAACAGG